AUUGAAUUUGAUGAUGGUGGAAAUACUAGUCUCAAAGGUACCAUAGCUUCGUCAACAAAUUUUGACAUUUGUGACGACUGAUUCCCGAGAUUCUUUCUGCGACUCCAUUACUUAGAUUUGUGAUUAGAAUUGAGUUUUCGCUGAGAUCAUCAAUAGAUUUGAGAGAUGUGAAAAGAGGGGUUCUCUUUGACCAGGAGAGAGAGUGAGAUGGAGAAAUCUUAUGAUGAAGAUAUUACAGAGAAUCGCUUCUUUACUACUCUACAGAGUAAACAUAAGCAGCUAUAUCAUCAAGCAACUCAACAGAGAUGUAUGAUCUGUGUCCCAAGGACAGGUGUAUUUACAAGGAUAUCAUUAAGCCAAACAGACUUCGAGAAUCAUAUAUUGCGGCAGCAAGAUGAGCAACUCAACAUCUAUGAAACCCUCAAU